UUGAGUUUGAAAUGUGCUACACAAGGUACUUUAAAACUUUGUGUUAUCUAAUUUUUGUUGCGGUAAGAUAAAUUCCAGUCAGAACCAAGAACCAAAAAUAACUUGCCAUGGAUUUGAGUAUGUUACUGUUAAACCUCUAAAGCCUUGAUUGAUUAGACUGGAAGGUCAAUUUCAGUUUAAUAGUCCAUGCUCACAGUAUCGUUUCUGCAAUAUUUUUCUAAAUCUUGCUAAUGGUUUGGGAAUGCAAAUUCAUUUGAAUGCAGCUAAAUAUGGUACACGUCAUGUUCUUGUUUUGGCUGACUUUUCACCAUGCACUAGGACAACAUACCUAGAGAAGCUUUUUGAGGACUUCAGAGACCGUGGAGUUGUUAUUUGCUGGGUUAAUGAUAAAACAGCCCUUGCAGUUCUUCGUACAACGUUUAUUGGAAAGGAGGUGGAGCUCAAUUACCAAUGACAACUGUUUGUCUGGGAACAAGAAGCCCAUCAGGAGUGUCUCAACUCUCUUGGAGGGGUGGUGCUGGAUAACGAGAAAAAGGAUGAGCUACUAUGGGAACUAGAUCCCAAAGGUGCUUUCUCGGUGAAACAAUGCAUUAGAGUUAUGGACCUUCAUACUUGCUUAAAGUCGCAUGAGGUAUGGUUUGCAUAAAUUUGGAGGUUUAUUAUCCUUGAAAGUCCAAGAAUUUUUAUGGCUUGCUUGGAGGUUUAUUAUCCCUGAAAGUCCAAGAAUUUUUAUGGCUUGCAAUAAUUAAGAGCAUAUGUUCUAAAUGUUUUCUUAUGUCCCGUCGUGUGACUUUUGAAAACAAUGAUGUUUCAUGUAAGUGGCGUGGGCUGGUAAAAGAAAGUUGUGUUCAUAUUCUGAUCUGUUGCAACUUCUCAUGGACCGCUUGGUAUAAUGUAUUCAAAUGGUUGGGGUUUAAAAUGGGUAUGUCAGAGUGACCGUUGAAUCUUUCAUUAGAUCUUUCAUAUAUUUUACACAUUUUUUUUCAUGUAAAAAAGAAAAGAUGAAAUGUGAUUUGUGGUGCGACCUUUUGGUUGGUUU